rnacentral:rRNA from 1 species
GAUGAACGCUAGCGACAGGCCUAACACAUGCAAGUCGAGGGGCAGCGGGAGCAAAGCUUGCUUUGCUUGCCGGCGACCGGCGCACGGGUGAGUAACGCGUAUGCAACCUGCCUGUAACAGGGGGAUAACCCGGAGAAAUCCGGCCUAACACCGCAUAACACAUGUAAGCCGCAUGGUUUUCAUGUCAAAUAUUCAAAGGUUACAGAUGGGCAUGCGUCCGAUUAGCUAGUUGGCGGGGUAGCGGCCCACCAAAGCAACGAUCCAUAGCCGGCCUGAGAGGGUGAACGGCCACAUUGGGACUGAGACACGGCCCAGACUCC